AAUAAACCAUUUGAAUCUGUAUUCAUCGGCUGUGAUCGAUACUAAGCGUAAUAGAAUACUACACCAACCACCCUUCUUAUUCGACUCUUCACUAACUUAUGACACAGAGAGACUUUACGGCACGAUAUUUGGAAUAUUUGCCUCCGCAAUGCAAGGUGUUACUUUUGUAAUUGUCCGAAAGUUGGGCAUUGCCACCCAUGCAACAUUAAAUGUUUUUUAUUAUUCCCUUGUUGGUUCCAUUACUUCAUUGAUCUUUACGCCUUCAAUUGAAACAUUCAAGCUGCCAUGUUUAUCUGAAGUAGGGUAUGUGUUCCUUGUUGGUGUAACUGGAUUUGGAGGCCAAAUCUUUAUGUCUUUUGCCCUUCAAUAUGAGCGGGCUGGAACCUUUUCAAUGCUCAAGUCCUUACAGAUUAUUCUCAGUUUUGGUUUUUAGGUUAUAAUUCUACAAGACAUCCCAUCAAGUUUGAGUUUAGGAGGUGCUGCCCUAGUGUUCGUCAGCAUAUUUGGAAUCGCCGUUAGAAAAAUCUACAACGAAUAUUUCAAAGAACAAAAACUUGUCAGUAAAAAAUAGAUUUAUGACUAUAUUAUUUUAUUUUUAUAUUCAGUGCUGUUUCAUCUUUAGAAAUCUUUAUAUUAGCGCUUCUUUAUGUAAUGGUGUUGUUUAUUUAAUAUUAUGUAAUUCAAUUAUCUCUAUGGUUCGCAACCUUUUCUUUUUUUAUAAUGUUUUUGUUGAUGAGCUCAGAGCUUAGUUUAAAACGUUUUAUAAAGUUCAUUUUCCGUUAAAUUAACCUUUUUGCUGAAAUGGCAUAUAGAUAUCUGUUAUUCUAUAUAAAAUAGAAUAUUCCU